rnacentral:misc_RNA from 1 species
UGCCCUUGAUUAAAAGAGUCUGAAAUGCAUAGUGUGUUCCAUGUGAUGGGUCAUUGACAAUCGAUAUUAAUCUAUAGUAAUCCAGUGCUUAAGGAUACUACAUUGGCGACGAGGAUUGUGAAUAGACUCUAUGAUUUAGAAUGGCGCAGUUAAUUACGACUGAUUUAGGGGGAAUUCCUACAUUUGAUUACUACGGUAGGGGUCAGAUGGCAAAAAUGGCGCAGAGCUUUUGAGUUAUUUGUUAUCGGUAAAGGGAUAGAAAAUGCGGCACAGAAGAGAGCAUUAUUAUUGCAUUGCGGAGGUAUGAAGAUGCAAGAUAUAUAUUUCACAUUUCCCGCGGCUCGCGAACCUGAUGGAGAUGAGACGGUGUACGACAUAGCUAUGGAACAACUUGACAACUACUUCCGGCCUAGAGUAAACACACCAUUCGAAAGGCAUGGAUUUCGUUUGAUGACACAAGAACCGACAGAGAGUGUGGAUCAGUUUGUGACUCGACUGAAACAGAAAGCGCAACAUUGUAAUUUUGACAAUGCAGACGAACAUAUUAGGGAUCAAGUCAUCGAAAAAUGCAAAUCAUCUCACUUACGUAGGAAAUUACUGGAAAGAGGGGGUGAUUUGACACUCGAGCAAACGUUAACUACAGCAAGGGCUUUUGAACAAAGUCAACAACAAGCUACCGGAAUUGAAGGAGGAAGGAAUUCAGAAGCUUUUGUGAAUAAAGUAAGUGUACGAAAACACAAACCGAACUCAAGUAUAACUUGUUAUAGGUGUGGUCAAAGAGGCCAUAUUAAGUCAGAUCCAGCAUGUCCAGCCAUCGGUCAAAUAUGUCUUAAAUGCAACAAGCCCGAUCACUUUGCUAAGUGCUGUAAAUCGUUCACACCAAAGACUCACAAUUAUAGUCACAAACAUUCUGGACGCAGCAAACCGAAGCCACGAGUUAGACUGGUGGACACAACAGAUCAGGAGGAUUCUGAUGAAGCUUAUGCAUUUACAUUGUCUAUGGAUAACCCACAAGAAACACUUGAAACACUUACAGUCAAUGGACCGUAUCACCCAACCGUUACCACAAAUAUUGGUGGAGUAGAAGAUAUUGUGAUGAUUGUCGACUCUGGUGCUAGUUGUAACGUACUGGAUCACUCCUUAUGGGAGGAGUUAAAGAAGAAAAGAGUAGAAACGCAAAAUACAGCCAAGUACAAGUUGGAGACCAAGUGUUGGUUCAGCAGCCAAAAGAAAACAAACUUUCACCUGCCUUUGAGACAAAACCAUACGAGGUCGUUGGACGUACAGGAAAUGAAGUUUUGCUGAAGGCACCACAUGGAGGUACAUAUCGCAGGAACGUAAAGCAAGUGAAAAAUCUGGAGAUUGACGGUAGCGUUCCACUUGAUGAUGCAGACGAUGUGACUGACCUAGAUCUUCCACAAAGUAAACUACCAGAUGAUGGGGACGACCUGAAGAUCACUGACAUGGACGAUGACCAGAAGAUUGAGACAGACCGUGGAGACUCUGUGCGUACAAGACCAGUUCGGCAACACAAGUUACCGGAUCGGUUCAAAGACUUUGUUUUGACAUAAAGUGAAAAUUUUAUGGACUGUUUAAAAAGUUUUGACGCAACUCAUUUCAGUGAAUUUUAUCUUGAUUUUGGACUUUAAAGUUAAAACUCAUUUCAGUUUAAAUUUCAAAUAAAUUUGAAUUAUGUUUAAAUUUAAGAAAAGGAGGAAUGUAAUGAUUAUAUGUAAGAACAAUAACUCUGUAUGUAAUGUAUCUUUGGAUUAUUGCCCUUGAUUAAAAGAGUCUGAA